GACGAACGCUGGCGGCGUGCUUAACACAUGCAAGUCGAACGGAAAGGCCCUGCUUUUGUGGGUUGCUCGUUUGGCGAACGGGUGAGUAACACGUGAGUAACCUGCCCCUGACUUUGGGAUAACUUCAGGAAACUGGGGCUCAUACCGGAUAUGAGCUCCUGCUGCAUGUUGGGGGUUGGAAAGUUUCGGCGGUUGUGGAUGGACUCGCGGCUUAUCCGCUUGUUGGUGUGGUAGCGGCUUACCAAGGCUUUGACGGAUAGCCGGCCUGAGAGGGUGACCGGCGACAUGGGGACUGAGAUACGGAGCAGAAUCGUACGGGAGGCAGCAGUGGAGAAUAUUGCAGAAUGGGCGGAAGCCAGAUGCAGCAACGCCGCGUGCGGGAUGAUGGGCUUCGGGUUGUAAACAGAUUUCGAAGGUGACGAAGAGUGAGUGACGGUAAUGGGUAAAGAAGCACCGGCUAACUACGUG
rnacentral:rRNA from 1 species